GUUUCUCUCCUUUCCAUUUUCCUCCCAUUUGACUUGUUUUUCUUGCCCUUACCACCAAAGAAUCUUUAUUUUUUUUUCAUUUUGGUUUUCUAUAUUUUCUCUCCCAUUUUCUCUACUUCACCUUUUUGUGCCACCACUUUUAUUUCAUUUUGUCACCGUCCACCAUUGCAUAACCACACUUGCACCGUUUCCCUUCACUUUUCCCCCUCUUGUGCCUCUAUUGCUCCAUCACCGGACCUCCAUCACCUCUACGCCGCCACUGUUGCCAUCUGUUUUCUUCCUUUCUUCUCCUCUCUUCUUUUUCUUUGAUUGUAAAUGAAUCUCUUUUAUUCAUUAUCCCUUUUUUCAAGUGGAUAUAUAUAUUUUAUUUACUUUUCAUACUCAACUUAUCUUCAUGUUUUUCUU
rnacentral:lncRNA from 1 species